AGGAGCUCGCUGGCAUUCAGUCUGUCCCUCCUGUCUUUCCAGUCCCUGGACAGAAGUGUCUCCGCACAGGUAGACUCUACGGAAGGAGAGAGGAACACGCAAGUUCCUAGUUCUCAGAUCAACCCAAGAAGAUGAACCCUGAAGAUGGGACAAAGUGCAUGGCAAGGUGGCCCAGAGGAAGCCAGCUGUUCUCAACCGCCAGCUGUUCUCAACCGAGCUCGCAGAGUUUGAACGAAUGAAGACCUCUGGUGAGGGGUGAGAAAUAGCUGAGAAAAUCCGAACUGAGGAGGAUUGUUAUUGAGACCCAUGAGGAACAGUUGAUGCCAUGCUGACUUCUCUCUCUCUCUCCUGGAUGCUCUGCUCCUCAAAUGGAGUUGCCCCUGAUCAUAGAUCUAGGAUUGUACCCAAUCCUAAUUUCAACUCCCUCUCUCGCUUUGUCUCUCUCUCUCUCCGCCCACACCCCCACACAAUAUCUUUUUUAGAUUUGUGUUGCAAUGAUGCUCUCAUAUGUGUUAACCGUUUAUACUUCUAUUGUCAAGUCGGUUGUUUCCUUUGUUGCUAAUGUUGUUGCCAAUUUGAAUAAACACAUUUUA